rnacentral:rRNA from 1 species
UACGUAGGCAGCGAGCGUUGUUCGGAUUUACUGGGCGUAAAGGGCGCGUAGGCGGUUCGUCGUGUCCGAUGUGAAAGCCCCGGGCUCAACCUGGGAAUGGCAUUGGAAACUGGCGGACUCGAGUGUGGCAGAGGGGGGUGGAAUUCCGCGUGUAGCAGUGAAAUGCGUAGAGAUGCGGAGGAACACCGAUGGCGAAGGCAGCCCCCUGGGCUAACACUGACGCUCAGGCACGAAAGCGUGGGGAGCAAACAGG